rnacentral:rRNA from 1 species
UACGGAGGGGGCUAGCGUUGUUCGGAAUUACUGGGCGUAAAGGGCGCGUAGGCGGACCUGCAAGUCGGGGGUGAAAGCCCGAGGCUCAACCUCGGAACUGCCUUCGAUACUGCGGGUCUCGAGUCCGGGAGAGGUGAGUGGAAUUCCUAGUGUAGAGGUGAAAUUCGUAGAUAUUAGGAAGAACACCAGUGGCGAAGGCGGCUCACUGGCCCGGUACUGACGCUGAGGCGCGAAAGCGUGGGGAGCAAACAGG